AAUCAGCUGUGUGUGUGUGUGUGUGUGUGUGUGUGUGUGUGUGUGUGUGUGUGUGUGUGUGUCUCUCUCUCUCUCUCUCUCUCUCUCUCUCUCUCUCUCUCUCUCUCUCUCUCUCUCUCUCUCUCUCUCCCUCCCUCCAUCAUUUCUAACGUGAUUGAAGGAAGUGGAGGAGGAGGAGGAGGAGAAAGUUGAAAUACUGUAACCAUCCCUUUGUUUAUAGUUACGGGUAGUGAAAACAACAACAACAACAACAACAACAACAACGCGAGUAAUUAUUUUAGCCUCCCUUGAAAAAACAAUAAAGUCUAGGGGGGCUACAACCCUAAUUUCGCUCCUUCCUUCCUUCCCCUAUCGUAUUACCUCUUCUAUACUUUACAUCUUCAAUAGUCACCUUUUGCAUAAUACAAUGGGACAAGUUAACAUUCAGCCUCUCCCACAGGCGUUAGGAGUAAGUUAAAAAAAAAAAGAUGGAAUAAAAAAAAUGCUAAUAGGUGACCUUGUCCUGCCCUGGGAUCGAACUUGGGACCUUAACUUUCACUGUCUAUCGCCUUGCCAACUGAGCCAUCGAGUCUGUAGUAGUAGUAGUAGUAGUAGUAGUAGUAGUAGUAGUAGUAGUAGUAGUAGUAGUAGUAGUAGUAGUAGUAGUAGUAGUAGUAGUAGUAGUAGUAGUAGUAGUAGUAGUAGUAGUAGUAGUAGUAGUAGUAGUGAAUGAUGAUGAUGGGUGGAAUAGGCAAGGAAGGGGAGGGCAGGGAAAGGAUGAUUGGACAAGGAGGAGAAAGGAUGGGAAUGGAGAGAGAAGAGAAGGGAAUGGAAAAGAAAUGAAGGGAAUGAAAGAAAGGAAGAGAAAAAAUGAUAGGGAAGGGAGAGAAAGAUAAUUGAAGAUCGAGAACAGGAAGGAAAGAGAAAAGGGAAGGAAAGGAAUAGAAUAGGGAAUGAAAGAGAAUAGAGAAGGAAAGGAAGAAAAUAGAAGGACAUGAAGGAACGAAAAUAAAGAUGAAGAUGGUGGUGAUGGUGAUGAUAGGCUUACAUAAUAACAAUGACCACAACAUAAACUAAUAAAAAAAUUUGAUGUAGAUAGGUAGGCAGUGUGAAUAGGCCGAUAAUGAAAAAAUAAAGAAGUGAAAAAUAAGAAUAAGGAAGUAAGGAAAUUGAAGAUGAUGGCAAUGACAAUAGUUUUACAUAAUAUUAACGAUAGAAUAGUGUAGAUGGAUAAGUAAUAUAAAAAGGAUGUUGAAAAUACUGAUAACUCAUCUCUAUAUCGCUUCGUACCUUGAUGAAAGUGAAGAUGAUGGAGAAGAUGGUUGUAUACGAGUAAUGCUUAUAAGACAGCGCCAUAGGAAAGGUUGUUGCCAUGGUGACGGUGUGGGUGGUUGCCAUGACGAUGACUACUGUUGUCGCGGUGUUGAACUCUCCAUGGUACGGUACAGGCCGGGCAGGUACAGGCACACACGACUUGGGAGACAGAGAGAGAAAAUAACGUCGAGGAAAUGGGAAAGUUUUAAAUGUUCCAAGUCCCUUCACGCGCAGUUUGAUAGAGGCUAAAAAUGGCAAAAGGAUAUGUUAUAGAUGCGGGAGACAGAGAGAGAAAAGAACAUCGAGGAAAUGGGAAAGUUUUAAAUGUUCCAAGUCCCUUCACGCGCAAUUUGAUAGAGGCUAAAAAUGGCAAAAGGAUAUGUUAUAGAUGCGAGAGACAGAGAGAGAAAAGAACAUCGAGGAAAUGGGAAAGUUUUAAAUGUUCCAAGUCCCUUCACGCGCAAUUUGAUAGAGGCUAAAAAUGGCAAAAGGAUAUGUUAUAGAUGCGGGAGACAGAGAGAGAAAAGAACAUCGAGGAAAUGGGAAAGUUUUAAAUGUUGCAAGUCCCUUCACGCGCAAUUUGAUAGACGCAAAAAAUGGCAAAAGGAUAUGUUAUAGAUGCGGGAGACAGAGAGAGAAAAGAACAUCGAGGAAAUGGGAAAGUUUUAAAUGUUCCAAGUCCCCUCACGCGCAGUUUGAUAGAGGCUAAAAAUGGCAAAAGGAUAUGUUAUAGAUGCGGGAGACAGAGAGAGAAAAGAACAUCGAGGAAAUGGGAAAGUUUUAAAUGCUGCAAGUCCCUUCACGCGCAGUUUGAUAGAGGCAAAAAAUGGCAAAAGGAUAUGUUAUAGAUGCGGGAGACAAAGAGAGAAAAGAACAUCGAGGAAAUGGGAAAGUUUUAAAUGUUCCAAGUCCUUUCACGCGCAAUUUGAUGGAGGCUAAAAAUGCCAAAAGGAUAUGUUAUAGAUGCGGGAGACAGAGAGAGAAAAGAACAUCGAGGAAAUGGGAAAGUUUUAAAUGUUGCAAGUCCCUUCACGCGCAAUUUGAUAGAGGCUAAAAAUGGCAAAAGGAUAUGUUAUAGAUGCGGGAGACAGAGAGAGAAAAGAACAUCGAGGAAAUGGGAAAGUUUUAAAUGUUCCAAGUCCCUUCACGCGCAAUAGGCAGAGAUGACUAGAUGUAAGGAGGGAGGUGACGAAGAGAAUGGUACAGGAAUGCUGGAGUUCUAGGUCAAAGGAGUGAGUGUUUAAGAGGGUGAAGGAAGGAUUUGGUACAGGAAUGCUGGAGUUCUAGGUCAAAGGAGUGAGUGUUUAAGAGGAUGAAGGAAGGAUAUGGUACAGGAAUGCUGGAGUUCUAGGUCAAAGGAGUGAGUGUUUAAGAGGGUGAAGGAAGGAUAUGGUACAGGAAUGCUGGAGUUCUAGGUCAAAGGAGUGAGUGUUUAAGAGGGUGAAGGAAGGAUUUGGUACAGGAAUGCUGGAGUUCUAGGUCAAAGGAGUGAGUGUUUAAGAGGGUGAAGGAAGGAUUUGGUACAGGAAUUAUAGGCAAGGUAAACAAGCUGGAUAAGAGGAAGAAGACUGAAUAGAAUGGAGAAGCAAUAUGCAAGAGAUAACCAGAUAGAUCGAGUUGCGUGUGGAAAAGUACCCAAAAAUACUGUGUUUGGAAAGGUUACCGGGCUCAUUGACACACAUUUCGGGUGGCAUAAAUAAAAGAGGACAUGGCAGAGGAGUGAAAUAGUGAAGAGUGAACUAGAUAUAGGAGUGAGUAUCGAGGAGGAAGAAAGAGGGAAUGGGGUUUGAAAUACUGAAGAGUGGACGAUAUAAAAGGAGUGAGUAUCUAGGAGGAAGAAAGAAGGAAUUGGGGUUUGAAAUACUGAAGAGUGAGCUAGAUAUAGGAGUGAGUAUUGAGGGGAAAGAAAGAGGCAAUGGGGUUUGAAAUACUGAAGAGUGGACUAGAUAUAGGAGUGAGUAUUAAGGGGAAAGAAAGAGGCAAUGGGAUUUGAAAUACUGAAGAGUGGACUAGAUAUAGGAGUGAGUAUUGAGGAGGAAGAAAGAGGGAAUGGGGAGAAAAAGGAAGGGAAUGGGAGAGAAGAGAAGAAUAAGGAAGGGAAGGGAAGGAAAGAAAAGGAAAUUGAGUGUUUGUAAAAAAAUUCUAUACUCCAUCACACAUGAAUUUUGGGAGACAUUGGGCCAGUUUCACAGUUCCCCAUGAUGGGUUCGUAAGCUCCCAAACCAAUACCAGAGCCUUUGAAAUUUCCUUGUAUAGUGUCUGGUGUUUAUAUUUAAGCUCACAAAUUUGAUGAAACUAUACAGGAAAAGUUUUGUGUAUUUAGUGUGGCAUCGAAGACCUCCCCAUUUUGGAUUGUAUGGGAUUCUAUAGUUUGGUUCGGGCUGUUACGAAGACACUGUGUUGGACUGUGGAACCGGCUUAUAGACACUGAAAAUAUAAUGACAGAGAAAAAAAAUACUGAAGUUGACAAAAUGACGGCCUCUUGCAGACUCCUAACGUUUAUAUUAUCUGAAACGAUUGAGUGCCAAAAAAACAACAAAAAAACAACAACAACAAACAAAACUGAAGCGAACUGAACCAGAAAACCGAAGCGCUGUUCUGAAUAUGUAGUUUUUUUUUUUUCUCUUCCACUUCGUUCCACUUAGCAUACAUAAAAGUGGAACCCCAGAACAGCGCCUAGUCCAUCUUUGUGUUUAUUCAGAUGUGUACGUGACGAGAGAGAGAGAGAGAGAGAGAGAGAGAGAGAGAGAGAGAGAGAGAGAGAGAGAGAGAGAGAAUGGAAAUGUUGGAAUGUUGACAAAAGGACAAAUAAAUAUGGAUAGAUAAGGAUAAAGAGAGGUAGAUAAAGAUAGAUAAAUAGAUGGAUAAUAACAGAAAAAAAGAGGAAAAUGGGAAUGUAGAUAAAAGACAAAGAAAGAUAAAAAAAAGAGAGAAAAAGAUAGACAGAUAGAUGGAUAGAUGAGAAAGAAAGCAGGAAUGUAGAUGAUAGACAAAGAAAGGGAAAAAAAAAAAAAGAAAGAGAAAAAGAUAGAUAGAUAAAUAGUUAAGAAAGAAAACAGGAAACAGAAAAUGCAGAAUGAGAUAAAAUAGACCAAUAUGGAAAAAAAAAGAUAGGAAAAAGAAAAAGAAAACAAGAGAGAGAGAGAGAGAGAGAGAGAGAGAGAGAGAGAGAGAGAGAGAGAGAGAGAGAGAGAGAGAGAGAGAGAGAA